CAAGCAAGCUGGAAACAACUGGGUUGGGGGAGGAAAGGCUUAGCAACAGCCUAACCGGUUCACAUUUUCAUGAUGGGCCCCAUCCCAUCGCCCUGCCAUGAGCCUUCAGCUGGAAACACAAUCCCAUUCCUUCCUAUUGUCCAGGCUUUUCCUUCCUGCCACAUGCCUGGAAUUGCGCCAGCGAUCGUUUCACACCUGCUGUUUGUGACUAUCCCGGGGUGACCUUUCCAACGAUGGCUACCGCAGGGGCUUUCUCGGCGGAUCGACACGAGUUGCUGAAUGAUGCCACCAUGCAAGGCUCAGCGGCUGAAGAGACGGGGCCGGAGAAGGAGGCCUCGUUCUGGAAGGAGACCAUCCAGUGAGAAACUGUCUGUUUGGGAUAAGAAACAGAAAAAGCAGGAGAGUGCCUAAUACUGCUGAGUCCUGGUCCUUGAUUGAGACAACACAUCAUCAUCAUCUUCAUUCAAACAUACUUAGAUGGCAUCUGAGGAUUCAUGGAAAUACAAGGGCCAAGAGUCUAAUGCAUUUUACUGGGAAUGAUUCUUUAUCUCUGGGCUGA